rnacentral:lncRNA from 1 species
GGGUGACUGGGUUAGGAAGUAAGGGGUGAGAAUAAGAAGUCAGGACCAACUCCGCUAGAAAUCUUGGAUGUGAAGCAAGCGGAAUUUCCAUGAGGGGCUUGGCAGGGUGACUGAAACCCAACUCCUGGUCUUUGAUGUAGAAAGUCAACCUCUUCUCAAUCUGGAGUAGUGAUGGAGCGUUCUCUACUCUGCCAACCACUGUGCUAAGUAAUGGGCCCAGAGCAGAGCAGCAUGUGCCCUCAGCCUGGGAAAUGCUCUGGUAUUUGGUAGCUUGUGACAAGGCAUGAGAAAAAUGAACCUGUGCAUCAGCUGUAGUACCUGCUUCAGGUAGAAUAACGGCAUGGAAGAACAGCAGCCAAAGCGGGAGGGCUUGGCAGCCCAUGUUGGGAGAGCUUCUAGCUACAGCAAAACCUGGAGUUUCAGCUUUAUA